ACUCCUACGGGAGGCAGCAGUAGGGAAUCUUCCACAAUGGGCGCAAGCCUGAUGGAGCAACACCGCGUGAGUGAAGAAGGGUUUCGGCUCGUAAAGCUCUGUUGUUAAAGAAGAACACGUAUGAGAGUAACUGUUCAUACGUUGACGGUAUUUAACCAGAAAGUCACGGCUAACUACGUGCCAGCAGCCGCGGUAAUACGUAGGUGGCAAGCGUUAUCCGGAUUUAUUGGGCGUAAAGAGAGUGCAGGCGGUUUUCUAAGUCUGAUGUGAAAGCCUUCGGCUUAACCGGAGAAGUGCAUCGGAAACUGGAUGACUUGAGUGCAGAAGAGGGUAGUGGAACUCCAUGUGUAGCGGUGGAAUGCGUAGAUAUAUGGAAGAACACCAGUGGCGAAGGCGGCUACCUGGUCUGCAACUGACGCUGAGACUCGAAAGCAUGGGUAGCGAACAGGAUUAGAUACCCUGGUAGGAUAGCG
rnacentral:rRNA from 1 species